rnacentral:rRNA from 1 species
AUUGAACGCUGGCGGCAUGCCUUACACAUGCAAGUCGAACGGCAGCACGGGAGCAAUCCUGGUGGCGAGUGGCGAACGGGUGAGUAAUAUAUCGGAACGUGCCCAGUCGUGGGGGAUAACGUAGCGAAAGCUACGCUAAUACCGCAUACGAUCUAUGGAUGAAAGCGGGGGAUCGCAAGACCUCGCGCGAUUGGAGCGGCCGAUAUCGGAUUAGGUAGUUGGUGAGGUAAAGGCUCACCAAGCCGACGAUCUGUAGCUGGUCUGAGAGGACGACCAGCCACACUGGGACUGAGACACGGCACAGACUCCUACGGGAGGCAGCAGUGGGGAAUUUUGGACAAUGGGCGCAAGCCUGAUCCAGCAAUGCCGCGUGCAGGAUGAAGGCCUUCGGGUUGUAAACUGCUUUUGUACGGAGCGAAAAGGCUUCCACUAAUACUGGGGGCUCAUGACGGUACCGUAAGAAUAAGCACCGGCUAACUACGUGCCAGCCGCCGCCGUAA